rnacentral:lncRNA from 10 species
ACUAGAGAGAGCGUCUUGUGGCUGCGGCCUGCCCCUCAGCCUCCUCCGCGCGGUUACCCCUGUACCCGCCGCCAUCCGUCCUGGCGCUCCGGAUGAGUCAAUGAGGGGCAGGGCCCGAGGAGUGGUCUUCCCAAGAACCCCUGGUGGCCUCCCAAGGCCGGUGCUGUGUACCUCCUCCCCGACAAAAGGGGAAACUGAGGCCCCGAGGGGAGUGGGAAGAGCCGGCUGGACGUCAGGCCCAGCCGCUGGUGCAGUGGUCCGUCCCCUCUGCCGGGGUGGGCCCCUCGGGUUUCGCGUGUCCUCGGGAAAGAGACUGGCGGCACCCUGAUCUGCACUCCCUGAGGGGCUCCCACUGUCCGCGGUGUGAGGAUGUCCCUGGAUAGUCCACUGUGUGCAGAGGCAUGGGAGUUGUCAUGUUGGGAACAUGCUAGACCUCAGUAUCCUUGAGGGAUGCUGCCUUGGGUCUGGAAACUGUUAGAGGAAACCCCAAGAGGUGCAGGCACUGAGCCUCUCAGGACAAUGACCUGGGGUCCCAGCUCCCCUGGAGGGGCCUCCUCAUGAUUGUUUGGGGGUUGAUCACAGACCAAGAGUGACGAGUGAUGUCACCCUGUGACUCAUGGCUGGACCUUCUUGCCCCUAUUGUCUCAGCACAACAUUAUUCGACUUUUCCCUCAGCGUGGGUGGGCAGAGGAAAAGCCCUGUGGCUCUGGGGACUUGGGAUCCAGAGUUGAAGACCCUUCAGCUGGCUCUGCCCUGCCAGUGCCACAGAGUGCCAUGGCCCAGGAAGACAGGUUUUCUUCCAUCUAGGCCAGGCCAUCCAGUGGCCAUCCUCCGUGUCCUCCCGCCUCCUCCUGGUGUGACUUCUGAAAACCAAGAAUUUGUUCCUGUUGACUUUUUCUGUGCUAUGGACCAUUGUCCUCUCACCCACUCAAUAAAUCUUGAAACAUG